rnacentral:rRNA from 1 species
UACGAAGGGGGCUAGCGUUGCUCGGAAUCACUGGGCGUAAAGCGCACGUAGGCGGAUCGAUCAGUCAGGGGUGAAAUCCCAGGGCUCAACCCUGGAACUGCCUUUGAUACUGUCGAUCUGGAGUAUGGAGGAGGUGAGUGGAAUUCCGAGUGUAGAGGUGAAAUUCGUAGAUAUUCGGAGGAACACCAGUGGCGAAGGCGGCUCACUGGUCCAUUACUGACGCUGAGGUGCGAAAGCGUGGGGAGCAAACAGG